UGUGGAACUGGAGCACGAAGACUUCCGUCGUAAGUAAUGUUCGGGUGUGGCAUAGGUGUUAGUUGGUUACCGUAAAAGUAAUAUUCGGAUGUGGCAUUGGAGUUAGUUGGUUACCGUAAAAGAAAUGUUCGGGUGUGGCAUUGGAGUUAGUUGGUAACCGUUAAAGUAAUGUUCGGUGUGAAAUUGGAGUUAGUUGGUAACCGUAAAAGUAAUGUUCGGGUGUGGCAUUGGAGUUAGUUGGUAACCGUAAAAGUAAUAUUCGGAUGCGGCAUUGGAGUAAGUUGGUUACCGUAGUAUGUAAUGCUGUUAAGGUCGUUUUGGCGUAGUGGAUAUGGUAUCCGCCUAGCGAUCAGGAAGUCACGGGUUCGAUCCCCACAGUUAAAGCGUUCUUUAGAUAUCCCCAAUAUAUAUGAAAUACAGGUUCUACCUUGGAAACGUAUUCAAUAUUCAAUAUUCAAUAUGUUCAUUGAGCCCAUGGCUUUCGAUUCAAUCGAGCUUAUAUUAAUUAAACGAAGGAACGGUUCCCGUUUAUCAAUGAUUUACUGGUACAAUACAGAAUGAAAUAAAAGAAAAGAAGUUUUUAGUAUUUUCAUGAAAAAUAUUAAAUAACACAAAGCUUUUAAUAAGUAAAGACCUUACACUUAUAAACUAUCUGUGAUAUAUUAGAGUUCAUAUAAUUGCAUCGGUCUAUCUACUCAUCGAGACAAUACAAUUAAACUAAAAAUGUUUUAACAAUCUUUCUGCAAGUUUAAUUGAGAAAAAGUUCACGUUUUAAUUGUUAUACAAUAAGGGUGUUCAUAUAACUUCAGCUUGGCUUGCCUAACACGUGCGUCCCUGGGAUGACAUCUAACGCACAUACUAUAAGCGCCGUUUUACAGAACGAGGUCCGUGUUUGUAUGACAUUAUAUGUGAGCGUUGAUUGUCUCUUCUUAAAGGAGGUCCAUAUUUGUAUGACAUAAUAUAUGAACGCUGAUUGUCUCUUCUUAAAGGAGGUCCAUGUUUGUAUGACAUUAUAUGUGAACGCUGCUUGUCUCAUCUUAAAUGAGGUCCAUAUUUGUAUGACAUUAUAUGUGAACGCUGCUUGUCUCAUCUUAAAGGAGGUCCAUGUUUGCCUGGCAUUAUAUGUUAAUGCUGAUUGUCUCAUCUUAAAGAUGGUCCAUAUUUGUAUUACAUAAUAUGUGAACGCUGAUUGUCUCUUCUUAAAGGAGGUGCAUGUUUGUAUGGCAUUAUAUGUGAACGCUGAUUGUCUCUUCUUAUAGGAGGUCCAUAUUUGUAUGAAAUUAUAUGUUAACGCUGCGUGUCUCUCUUAAAAGAGGUCCAUAUUUGAAUGACAUUAUAUGUGAACGCUGCUUGUCUCUUCUUAAAGGAGGUCCAAAUUUGUAUGACAUUAUGUAUGAACGCUGCUUGUCUUUUCUUAAAGGAGGUCCAUAUUUGUAUGACAUUAUAUGUGAACGCUGCUUGUCUAUGACAUUAUAUGUGAACGCUGCUUGUCUCUUCUCAAAGGAGGUCCAUAUUUGUAUGACAUUAUAUGUGAACGCUGCUUGUCUUUUCUUAAAGGAGGUCCAUAUUUGUAUGACAUUAUAUGUGAACGCUGCUUGUCUAUGACAUUAUAUGUAAACGCUUCUUGUUUCUUCUUACAGGAGGUCCAUAUUUGUAUGACAUUAUAUGUGAACGCUGCUUGUCUCUUCUUAAAGGAGGUCCAUAUUUGUAUGCCAUCAUAUGUGAACGCUGCUUGUCUCUCUUAAAAGAGGUCCAUAUUUGAAUGACAUUAUAUAUGAACGCUGCUUGUCUCUUCUUAAAGGAGGUCAAUAUUUGUAUCACAUUAUAUGUGAACGCUGCUUGUCUCUUCUUAAAGGAGGUCCAUAUUUGUAUUCCAUUAUAUGUGAAC